rnacentral:rRNA from 1 species
GACAGAGGGUGCAAACGUUGUUCGGAAUUACUGGGCGUAAAGCGCGUGUAGGCGGCAAGGCAAGUCGGAUGUGAAAGCCCGCGGCUCAACCGUGGAAGUGCACUCGAAACUGCCUAGCUAGAGUCUCGGAGAGGAAGGUGGAAUGCUUGGUGUAGAGGUGAAAUUCGUAGAUAUUGGGAAGAACACCGGUGGCGAAGGCGGCUAUCUGGCCCGUAAUUGACGCUGAGGCGCGAAAGCGUGGGGAGCAAACAGG